rnacentral:rRNA from 1 species
UACGUAGGGUGCGAGCGUUGUCCGGAAUUACUGGGCGUAAAGAGCUUGUAGGUGGUUUGUCGCGUUGUUCGUGAAAUCUCACGGCUCAACUGUGAGCGUGCGGGCGAUACGGGCAGACUAGAGUACUGCAGGGGAGACUGGAAUUCCUGGUGUAGCGGUGGAAUGCGCAGAUAUCAGGAGGAACACCCGUGGCGAAGGCGGCUCUCUGGGACGGUACUGACGCUGAGACGCGAAAGCGUGGGGAGCGAACAGG